rnacentral:rRNA from 1 species
GUGAGGAAUAUUGGUCAAUGGGCGGAAGCCUGAACCAGCCAAGUCGCGUGAAGGAAGAAGGAUCUAUGGUUUGUAAACUUCUUUUGAAGGGGGAUAAAGUGCGUCACGUGUGGUGCAUUGCAGGUACCCUUGGAAUAAGCAUCGGCUAACUCCGUGCCAGCAGCCGCGGUAAUACGGAGGAUGCGAGCGUUAUCCGGAUUUAUUGGGUUUAAAGGGUGCGUAGGUGGCUUUUUAAGUCAGCGGUGAAAACUGGCGGCUCAACCGCAAGAGUGCCGUUGAAACUGGGGAGCUAGAGUAUGAACGAGGUAGGCGGAAUGUGUGGUGUAGCGGUGAAAUGCAUAGAUAUCACGCAGAACUCCGAUAGCGAAGGCAGCUUACCAGGCCAUAACAGACACUGAAGCACGAAAGCGUGGGGAUCGAACAGGAUUAGAAACCCCAGUAGUCC